GGAAGUGAGCGUACUUGUGUGGCGGCCACCCCUCUCGUCUCACUGUGGUGUGAACACGCUCUCAUGAGGCUAACUUUUCAGAGUUGGGGAGUUCAGUCGAGGUGAUGUGGGAUCAGGGAGGAAGGAGAAGCAUUUGGUGCUUGUACAGAAGUCCGUGUUGACCAUCAGAUGAUUCUUCAACCUGAUAGGCUGAUAAAAUCCUUUCAAUAUCCAUUUGAUGACGUCACAAAAUCAGUUUUCAUCCAGUUAAAACGUCGUUCUGAGCACCUGGAGAGAUCUCUGAGGUAGUCACAGAGCCCAAUCUGCCGCUGAAUUGAGAAACUGACGAUGUUUAAAGGGACAGCCGGCAUGGCGGGACUACACGCGCACACACACUAGACGCCGACGCUGUUGUGUUACACGUCACGCCGCCAUAAGUGAGACCCGAAAUGCCUAUUAGGCUUCAGAGGCUGUGCUGCUGCUUAUCAAAGAGUUCAAAGUCUGAAAUUGUUUAUCAUGGCGGGACAUCACUUCUGAUAGCGGCACUGUGUGGUUAGGGUGAGAUCGGACGUCUGAUAGGACAGCGGAUAAUGUAAAUAAACCCACGGCGGCUACAGCACUCGGCUUGUUUGUUGUUUUUGCAAAAAUGAUGAAAUGAGCAUGA